AUGGGCAUCUAUCGUCAUGGAUACACACUUAUGACCCACACCCUUCCGACAGUUGUGCACGACCUAGCCGACCUGCCCUUCCCCGUCCAGCCGCUGCGGCCUCUCCCACCUCUCGCCGUGAAUCAUGCUUGCCUCCAGCCAGCCGCCCCUGCUGACCGUGCCUCCCUCACCGCCGGUCGUCCCCGGCGAGCAACCUCUCGAGAGGCGUGGGAUCCAGCCGCCACCGCCAUGGAUUCAAUGGCCCCCCUUCAAUGGCCCCCCCCUGCCCGGGAUCCAGCCGCCGCCGCCAUGGAUUAUGCCUCCCUUCCCCAAUGGCCCCCUAUCCUCAUGGCCAGCCACCGCCGGACGGCCCAAAUUGAUUGCUCUCCGGAUCGAAAGGUUCUUCAACUUCUGCUUUGUAGGUCUCUUGCUCCUCGGAUUGGCUUCAAUUCCUUUUUGCAGCGGUCCCCUGCUUCUUCCAUUGGCUACAAUCUGCUUCCAUUUAAGUCAAUUUUGCCCACAUGCUUUGUUAAGAUGGAUAGCACCGCAAAUUCUUCUACAAAUCCUUGUAGCCAUUUAGUCCAACACAGUCAUGGGCGCCCCCGUCAUCAGUCACAACCAGUUGUCAUACCUGAAAUAAACCAAUCAGCUGCUUCUGAUAACCACCGCCGACGUACACAACUUAGAAAUAGAGGAGGGAAAAUCUUGCUGAAACCAUAUGAUCCUCCUCCUCAGCCUCUAUUGGAUUUAUUAACCUCACAGAACACUGCAACUUCGAACCACUUUUUUGAUCAUAUCAGGCAGUAUAAUACCAUGUUUGCGAUGACUUCAAUGGGUGCUAAAGUUAUUGAAUCCAUGAAUGAUGGCCGAGCACCCUAUGUUUUCAAGAUUAGUGAGUAUGAGGUUAGAAACCGCAUAAAUAUUAUUGCAUCUUCUCGCCCUUCAUCAUCUCGGUCUUCGUAUGCCCGCCCUUCUUUCAAUGCUAAUCAAGAUAUUGUCCAGUCCCUUAUAUCGAUGCUUAACACCCAUAAUCCCAUAGUGAAACUAUUUAGAACAGCACAAGAAAGAUUGACCGCAGAUGCUCCUGAUCAGUUCUUUAUCAGAUUAUAUGGCAAACCUGACGCACAUGGAGACAUCUAUAGUGCUCCGGUCGCAUCUGAGGUUGUAGGGUUGGUUGUUGGUGAUAUUGGGUCAACUGAUGUUGGGCGGGACAUUAUAAUAGAUAACCGUUCAUCAGGAUUACAACAAAUCAAUGAAAAACAUUGCAAGUUUAUGGCUAUGUAG
rnacentral:rRNA from 1 species